rnacentral:rRNA from 1 species
AUUGAACGCUGGCGGCAUGCCUUACACAUGCAAGUCGAACGGUAACAGGUUAAGCUGACGAGUGGCGAACGGGUGAGUAAUAUAUCGGAACGUGCCCAGUAGUGGGGGAUAGCCCGGCGAAAGCCGGAUUAAUACCGCAUACGAUCUACGGAUGAAAGCAGGGGAUCGCAAGACCUUGCGCUAUCGGAGCGGCCGAUGUCAGAUUAGCUUGUUGGCGGGGUAAAAGCCCACCAAGGCGACGAUCUGUAGCUGGUCUGAGAGGACGACCAGCCACACUGGGACUGAGACACGGCCCAGACUCCUACGGGAGGCAGCAGUGGGGAAUUUUGGACAAUGGGCGCAAGCCUGAUCCAGCCAUGCCGCGUGCGGGAAGAAGGCC